rnacentral:lncRNA from 1 species
UCCCCAAUGUACAGGGAGAAAAAAAUGAGACACAACCAGUCUCUUCCCACAUCAAAAGAAAAAAUUACCAUUGUGCAACAGGAAAGUAAUGCUACUAAACUCUAAAUUAGACUUUCUGCUAAUGGCACACACCCCUGAGUUAUUGUGAAGAUCAAACAAUAAUAUCUAUAUAAGGGAGAUUAGUAUAGUAUUAGUUCUAUAGUAAGCACCCAAUAAAGUUGAUCUUGACUAUUAUUAUCAAGAUACAUUGUUUUCUUAUAACAGAUUUCUAUUUCCCUCAAAAAUAAUAAUAUUUUGUCCCCGACAAUUUUCACUAAUAUGGAAGGAAAUUAGAUGCCUAUGUAUUUCAGUAUUUUUUGGAGUUGAUUGUUUUAUAUUUCCCUCCUUACCCACAAAUGAAAACUUCAUGUGUAUCCAUCUUUUGGUAAAAUGUUUUAAAGUUAUAAUGAUUUCAUUGUGCAAUAGGAUAGCAUGUUCCAUAAUAUUAAGAGUCCUAUAUGGACUAUAUAGGGUGGAUAUAUUUCACUGAUAGAGAUUGUGCUAAAUUAUGGAAGACUUGGAUGCACAAAUGAAGUCUUCUUUAAAAGAGUUAACUUGGGGUGCCUAGGUGGUUCAAUUGGUUAAGUGUCUGACUAUUGAUUUCAGCUCAGGUCAUGAUCUCAGGAUCGUGAGAUUGAUCCCCUGGUCAGGCUUUACACUCAGCAUGGAGUUCAGCUUGGAAUUCUCUCUCUUCUCUCUCUCUGUCCUUCCCCUGCUUCCUCUCUCUCUCUUUCUCUUUCUAAAAUAAAUAAAAUCUUAAAAAAAUGAAAGAGUUAAUUGUUCUGAUAGCUUAUAUUAAAUAUUUCCCAAAGGACUUAUAUUAAUUUGUUUAUAGUAACUAUACUAUGAGGUUUUUUUUCUUGAUGUAUUAAUCAUAUCAAAUGUGUUUCCCAUUGUAUUAUAAAUAAAAGGCUUUUCUUCUGGAAAUUGCUCUAGGAAGAGGUUGAACAAUUUCUUUUAGCAGGAAAAAAAAAGUUUAAAACUGGUUAAAUGAUUAAAAACAAAUUUAAGGAUGCUGGAAAAUGACAUACAGCAAUUCAAGAUGUAUUUACUCAGAAAAAAAAUCCUGCUGCAUUAAAUAAAAAAUGAAUCUCUGACAUUUAAUCUAGAGGUGUUCCCAUCUCAUCAGUUUAGUUGGUGAAAUCCUACAGUUUUACCUUUACAGGUGGUGGACUCAUACCAAGGUGGCUAGAAGAGCAAGCAGAAAUUCAAUGGGAAUUUCUCUUGGAAGCAAGAGAGCCAGAGAAGACCUGAGAUAAUAAACUCCUCAAAUAUCCUUGGCUUGCAGCUAAACUAAGAAUACACAGGAGGCCUUAGAGAGCUCAGUGAAAACUGAAAGCAUAAGCAGACUGAAUUUAGUGUACCUUUGCAAGUAAUCCUCAAUUCAUACAAAGCUGGAAUGUUAGAAGUGAAAACUUACUGGCUGGAGGUGUCUGAGCAUGACCUCUGUUGGAAUCACUGACUAAUCUCUAAACUAUGCAGACACAAAAAGACCACAAGGGAAUCAAUCCAAAAACAAACAAACAAACAAAAAAAACAACCACAACUGAGAAGAGAUAUCAGUAGCUGCAUACCACAAUGAAGAAUUUUUUAAAUAUGAGUAUAGGUGAGGUAAUUGAUUAUUAAAACAAAUAAACAAACAAGCAGCCUCCAGAAACCAAAGAGAGUCCAGAAUAGCCACAGUGUAAUAUCUACUGUGCAUACUUAUCAACCAAAUUGCUCUUUAUGAACGAGGUGUAGAAAUAGGAAAUUGUGAGAGAUAAUCAGGGUUUAAAAAUAAGCAAUACAGAAUUUGACUUUUUUUUUCAGAAAUUGACUUUAAGUGGAUUUAGAUGUUAGAGAAUUUGAAGCAAAUAUAUAAUAUAUAGAAUAUAUAGAAAUAUAAAUAAAUAUUAUAAUAAUUAUAUAUUAUAUAUUCAAAUAGAAUAUAUACUGAGUGUAUAUAUUGAGUAUAUAUAUAUUCAAAUAAUUAAAUGAAUGCAUAUUCAAACAAUCAAAUAAUUGUUAAAUUAUUUCUUUCAAAUAAUUAAAGAAAAAUAUGCUAAGAAUAAUCAAAACAAUCAUACCAAUAAGGAGUCUCAACAGAGACCUGGAAACUAAAAAGAAAAAAAGAAGAAAGAAAAAGAAAGAAAAAAGAAAGAAAGAAAGAAAGAAAGAAAGAAAGAAAGAAAGAAAGAAAGAAAGAAAGAAGAAAGAAGAAAGAAAAAUUUUAAAAACCUAAUGGAAAUUCUAGGCCUGCAAAGCAUAAUAAUAACUGAAAUUAGGGGCACCUAGGUGGCUGGCUCAGUGGUUGAGCAUCUGCCUUUGGCUCAGGUCAUGAUUUGGGGGUCCUGGGAAGUAGUCCCACAUCAGGCCCCCCACAGGAAGCCUGCUUCUCUCUCUGCCUAUGUCUCUGCAUCUCUCUCUGUGUGUCUCUCCUGAAUAAAUAAAUAUAAUCUUUUAAAAAGAAUAACUGAAAUUAAAGUUUCUUUAUUCAACAGCAGAUUGAGAUGUCAGAAGAAAAAAUUGUAAACGCAGAGAUAAAGUCAUAUAAAUGUUCAAAUCUGAACAACAGAGUGGAAAAAAGAUUUAAAAAAUAACUGAUAUUUGAAAGUAUGUGGAACAAUAGUAAGUAUUCCAACACAUGUGUAGUUGGAGUUUCAGGAAGAAAAGAAAAAUAUAAAAGGGUAGAAAAAUAUUUUAAGUAAUAGUGGCCCCAAACUCUCAAAAUUUGUCAAGAAAUAUUAAUGUAUACAUCCAACAGUCUUAAUGAAUCCUCAAUUAUUAUAAAUACAAAGAGGACCACACCUAGAUGCACAAGAGUCAA